UUGAGACUGUGAUAUAUAAUCAUGGACGGAGACACAUUUAGAAAGAUCCUGUCGUACUGCAUUUUAUUAUUGAAUACAAAGAAAAACAAGACACGUGUAUAAAUGCAUUGCUUCAAAACUACUCUUAGUAGCCUCAGUAAGAAGACACUUAUCCACAGCAAAAUAUUACAACCCCCUUUUUUUAAAGAAACAUAGCAUUUGAAAUAAAUACGUUUGGAUGAUAACAUCUUGCUGAUUGCAUUGGGGGCAAUGCACUUUCACACUAUUUACAGUUUAAAUCUGACUAAAUAAUCAUCACCGUCUCACAGACCCUCAGUGCUCACAGAAACUGUUGCCCUUUACAUUCAAACCUCAUCCCUUCAUCGUCACAUUCUAUUUUUAAAUGUGCUUUUGUCAAGGAACCAAAAGUGAAAACUACACAUUUUUCCCAUUACCAGAAUGUACAGUGUACUGUAUACUGUAUAAAGACAGGACAAUGUACCAGAUAUAACUUGGUGUCAAACAGAAUAUGAAUGUGACCAACAUGUCCCUCUUGAAGGUGACAUAAAGUAGACUAUACAGGUUACAUAAAGUAGACUAUACAGGUUACAUAGAGUAGACUAUACAGGUUACAUAAAGUAGACUGUACAGGUUACAUAAAGUAGACUAUACAGGUUACAUAGAGUAGACUAUACAGGUUACAUAAAGUAGACUAUACAGGUUACAUAAAGUAGACUAUACAGGUUACAUAGAGUAGACUGUACAGGUUACAUAAAGUAGACUAUACAGGUUACAUAAAGUAGACUAUACAGGUUACAUAAAGUAGACUAUACAGGUUACAUAGAGUAGACUGUACAGGUUACAUAAAGUAGACUAUACAGGUUACAUAAAGUAGACUAUACAGGUUACAUAAAGUAGACUAUACAGGUUACAUAAAGUAGACUAUACAGGUUACAUAAAGUAGACUAUACAGGUUACAUAAAGUAGACUAUACAGGUUACAUAAAGUAGACUAUACAGGUUACAUAAAGUAGACUAUACAGGUUACAUAGAGUAGACUAUACAGGUUACAUAAAGUAGACUAUACAGGUUACAUAGAGUAGACUGUACAGGUUACAUAAAGUAGACUAUACAGGUUACAUAGAGUAGACUAUACAGGUUACAUAAAGUAGACUAUACAGGUUACAUAGAGUAGACUAUACAGGUUACAUAAAGUAGACUAUACAGGUUACAUAGAGUAGACUAUACAGGUUACAUAAAGUAGACUAUACAGGUUACAUAGAGUAGACUGUACAGGUUACAUAAAGUAGACUAGACAGGUUACAUAAAGUAGACUAUACAGGUUACAUAAAGUAGACUAUACAGGUUACAUAGAGUAGACUGUACAGGUUACAUAAAGUAGACUAUACAGGUUACAUAAAGUAGACUAUACAGGUUACAUAAAGUAGACUAUAGAGGUCACAUAAAGUAGACUAUAGAGGUCACAUAAAGUAGACUAUACAGGCUACAUAAAGUAGACUAUACAGGUUACAUAGAGUAGACUAUACAGGUUACAUAGAGUAGACUAUACAGGCUACAUAAAGUAGACUAUACAGGCUACAUAAAGUAGACUAUACAGGUUACAUAGAGUAGACUAUACAGGUUACAUAAAGUAGACUAUACAGGUUACAUAAAGUAGACUAUACAGGUUACAUAAAGUAGACUGUACAGGUUACAUAAAGUAGACUAUACAGGCUACAUAGAGUAGACUAGACAGGUCACAUAAAGUAGACUAUACAGGUUAAAUAAAGUAGACUAUAGAGGUCACAUGAAGUAGACUAUAGAGGUCACAUAAAGUAGACUAUACAGGCUACAUAAAGUAGACUAUACAGGUUACAUAAAGUAGACUAUACAGGUUACAUAAAGUAGACUAUAGAGGUCACAUAAAGUAGACUAUAGAGGUCACAUAAAGUAGACUAUACAGGCUACAUAAAGUAGACUAUACAGGUUACAUAGAGUAGACUAUACAGGUUACAUAAAGUAGACUAUACAGGCUACAUAAAGUAGACUAUACAGGUUACAUAGAGUAGACUGUACAGGUUACAUAAAAUAGACUAUACAGGUUACAUAAAGUAGACUAUACAGGUUACAUAGAGUAGACUAUAGAGGUCACAUAAAGUAGACUAUACAGGUUAAAUAAAGUAGACUAUAGAGGUCACAUAAAGUAGACUAUAGAGGUCACAUAAAGUAGACUAUACAGGCUACAUAAAGUAGACUAUACAGGUUACAUAGAUUAGAUUAUACAGGUUACAUAAAGUAGACUAUACAGGUUACAUAAAGUAGACUAUACAGGUUACAUAAAGUAGACUAUAGAGGUCACAUAAAGUAGACUAUACAGGUUACAUAAAGUAGACUAUACAGGUUACAUAAAGUAGACUAUACAGGUUACAUAGAUUAGAUUAUACAGGUUACAUAAAGUAGACUAUACAGGUUACAUAAAGUAGACUAUACAGGUUACAUAAAGUAGACUAUACAGGUUACAUAGAGUAGACUAUACAGGUUACAUAGAGUAGACUAUACAGGCUACAUAAAGUAGACUGUACAGGUUACAUAAAGUAGACUAUACAGGUUACAUAGAGUAGACUAUACAGGUUACAUAAAGUAGACUGUACAGGUUACAUAAAGUAGACUAUACAGGUUACAUAAAGUAGACUAUACAGGUUACAUAAAGUAGACUAUAGAGGUCACAUAAAGUAGACUAUACAGGUUACAUAAAGUAGACUAUACAGGUUACAUAAAGUAGACUAUACAGGUUACAUAGAUUAGAUUAUACAGGCUACAUAAAGUAGACUAUACAGGUUACAUAAAGUAGACUAUACAGGUUACAUAAAGUAGACUAUACAGGUUACAUAAAGUAGACUAUACAGGUUACAUAAAGUAGACUAUACAGGUUACAUAAAGUAGACUAUACAGGUUACAUA
ensembl:lncRNA